UCUGGUGAUUAUGGCGAAGAGGUCACACCCGUUCCCAUGCCGAACACGGAAGUUAAGCUCUUCAGCGCCGAUGGUAGUUGGGGGAUCUCCCCCUGUGAGAGUAGGACAUCGCCAGGC
rfam:Bacillus enclensis strain SGD-1123 genomic scaffold Scaffold11, whole genome shotgun sequence.